rnacentral:misc_RNA from 1 species
UUGGUACUGAACUGAAGCUAAGUUAGCUUUGGUUAUGCUAGUAACACUCUGUAAUUGAAAAGUACCUUCUUUUUUUUUUCUCAAUAAAUUUGAUGGGUUUUUCAGAAAAAUUUAGGGGUUUUAGAAAGUGGGUACUGUUUUAAUUUCUUUUUGUUGGGUUUCUUGACUGCCUGGGGACUGGGUUUUGAUCAAAAUUGUGAGGGG